UACGUAGGGGGCAAGCGUUGUCCGGAAUCAUUGGGCGUAAAGCGCGUGUAGGCGGCUGUCUAAGUCCGAUGUGAAAGCCCGGGGCUCAACCCCGGGAGGCGGGUGGAUACUGGUCAGCUCGAGUCCGGAAGAGGAGUGUGGAAUUCCUGGUGUAGCGGUGAAAUGCGCAGAUAUCAGGAGGAACACCAAUGGCGAAGGCAGCACUCUGGGACGGUACUGACGCUGAGACGCGAAAGCGUGGGGAGCAAACAGG
rnacentral:rRNA from 1 species